rnacentral:rRNA from 1 species
GUGCAGCAGUCGAGAAACCUUUACAAUGUGCGAAAGCACGAUAAGGGAACUCUGAGUGCCUCCUAAGGAGGCUGUUCAGGUGUCUAAAAGCACCUGAAGGAAGGGCUGGGUAAGACCGGUGCCAGCCGCCGCGGUAACACCGGCAGCCCAAGUGGUAGCCACGUUUAUUGGGUCUAAAGCGUCCGUAGCCGGCUGGGUAAGAUCCUUGGGAAAUUUGGCUGCUUAACAGUCAAGCUUUCAGGGAAUACUGCCCGGCUUGGGGACCGGGAGAGGUCAGAGGUACUCCAGGGGUAGGGGUGAAAUCCAUUAAAUCCUUGGGGGACCACCGGUAGCGAAGGCGUCUGACCAGACCGGGUCCGACGGUGAGGGACGAAGGCUAGGGGCGCGAACCGGAUUAGAUACCCCCGUAGU